rnacentral:rRNA from 1 species
AGAGUUUGAUCAUGGCUCAGAGCGAACGCUGGCGGCAGGCCUAAUACAUGCAAGUCGAACGGCUCUUCGGAGCAGUGGCGGACGGGUGAGUAACGCGUGGGAACGUGCCCUUUGGUUCGGAACAACACAGGGAAACUUGUGCUAAUACCGAAUGUGCCCUUCGGGGGAAAGAUUUAUCGCCAUUGGAGCGGCCCGCGUUGGAUUAGCUAGUUGGUGGGGUAAAGGCCCACCAAGGCUACGAUCCAUAGCUGGUCUGAGAGGAUGAUCAGCCACACUGGGACUGAGACACGGCCCAGACUCCUACGGGAGGCAGCAGUAGGGAAUCUUGCGCAAUGGGCGAAAGCCUGACGCAGCCAUGCCGCGUGAAUGAUGAAGGUCUUAGGAUUGUAAAAUUCUUUCACCGGGGAAGAUAAUGACGGUACCCGGAGAAGAAGCCCCGGCUAACUUCGUGCCAGCAGCCGCGGUAAUACGAAGGGGGCUAGCGUUGCUCGGAAUUACUGGGCGUAAAGGGCGCGUAGGCGGACAUUUAAGUCAGAGGUGAAAGCCCAGGGCUCAACCUUGGAAUUGCCUUUGAUACUGGAUGUCUUGAGUUCGGGAGAGGUGAGUGGAAUGCCGAGUGUAGAGGUGAAAUUCGUAGAUAUUCGGCGGAACACCAGUGGCGAAGGCGACUCACUGGUCCGAUACUGACGCUGAGGCGCGAAAGCGUGGGGAGCAAACAGGAUUAGAUACCCCGGUAGUCCAA